GUACACGCUGUGACUAGCAUAUCAAUAAGCGGAGGAAAAGAAACUAACGAGGAUUCCCCUAGUAACGGCGAGUGAAGCGGGAAGAGCUCAAAUUUGAAAUCUUAAAGGGUUUCCCUUUACGAAUUGUAGUUUAAAGAAGUGUUUUCUGUUGAGGUUUUGGUAAAAGUUCUUUGGAAUAGGACAUCAUAGAGGGUGAGAAUCCCGUAUUUGACCUUUACUUUCAACUUUGUGAUACACUUUCAGAGAGUCGGAUUGUUUGGGAAUGCAGUCCAAAAUGGGUGGUAAAUUUCAUCUAAAGCUAAAUAUUGGCGAGAGACCGAUAGCGAACAAGUACCGUGAGGGAAAGAUGAAAAGAACUUUGAAAGGAGAGUUAAACAGUACGUGGAAUUGUCAAAAGGGAAGCGUUUGACACCAGUGUUGUUUUUCUGAAAAUCAAUUAAAGAACUGUUUAUGCUAAGUUGUUUAGACUUUAUCAGCUAUCUGCUUAGUUUUGAGCUUUUCUUUAAUGCACUUUUCAGUUAACAAGUCAACAUCAAUUUCUUUUGCUGUAAGAAAGCUUGAGGAAGGUGGCUUGAGAUUCGUCUUAAGUGUUUAUAGCCUCUUGCCUAUGCAGUCGGAGAGAUUGAGGUCUGCAGCGUAGAUCCUUCGGGGCUAAAUGCAUUUGUGCUAAGUUAUAGCAUUUUAUAGACAACUUGUCGACUAUGAUUUGUCUUGUAGCUUACUCGCUUAUGUUAUUUUACCUACGCUUAGGAUGUUGAUAUGCAUGACUGAUAU
rnacentral:rRNA from 1 species